rnacentral:rRNA from 1 species
GGUAACGGGUAACGGGGUGUUAGGGCACGACACCGGAGAGGGAGCCUGAGAAACGGCUACCACAUCCAAGGAAGGCAGCAGGCGCGCAAAUUACCCAAUCCCGACAUGGGGAGGUAGUGACAAUAAAUAACAAUACAGGGUUCUUUUGGAUCUUGUAAUUGGAAUGAGUACAAUUUAAAUCUCUUAACGAGGAACAAUUGGAGGGCAAGUCUGGUGCCAGCAGCCGCGGUAGUUCCAGCUCCAAUAGCGUAUAUUAAAGUUGUUGCAGUUAAAAAGCUCGUAGUUGAAUUUCGGGAUCAAGGGAUCGGUCAUGCCUUGGUAUGUACUGGUUUUAUUGGUUCUCACCUUCUAAAGAACCAUAAUGUCAUUUAUUUGAUGUUAUGGGGAAUUAGGACUGUUACCUUGAAAAAAUUAGAGUGUUUAAAGCAAGCUUACGCUUGAAUACAUUAGCAUGGAAUAAUGAAAUAGGACAUCAGAUUCUAUUUUGUUGGUUUCUAGGAUCGAUGUAAUGAUUAAUAGGGAUAGUUGGGGGCAUUAGUAUUCAAUCGUCAGAGGUGAAAUUCUUGGAUUUAUUGAAGACUAACUACUGCGAAAGCAUUUGCCAAGGAUGUUUUCAUUAAUCAAGAACGAAAGUUAGGGGAUCGAAGACGAUCAGAUACCGUCGUAGUCUUAACCAUAAACUAUGCCGACUAGGGAUCGGAUGAUGUUA